UACGUAGGGUGCAAGCGUUAAUCGGAAUUACUGGGCGUAAAGCGUGCGCAGGCGGUUUUGUAAGACUGUCGUGAAAUCCCCGGGCUCAACCUGGGAAUGGCGAUGGUGACUGCAAGGCUAGAGUUUGGCAGAGGGGGGUAGAAUUCCACGUGUAGCAGUGAAAUGCGUAGAUAUGUGGAGGAACACCGAUGGCGAAGGCAGCCCCCUGGGUCAAAACUGACGCUCAUGCGCGAAAGCGUGGGGAGCAAACAGG
rnacentral:rRNA from 1 species